GGAAAGAAUUUCGCUCUAGGAGGGUCUCGCGGCCUAUCAGCUAGUUGGUGGGGUAAUGGCCUACCAAGGCAACGACGGGUAGCUGGUUUGAGAGAACGAUCAGCCACACUGGGACUGAGACACGGCCCAGACUCCUACGGGAGGCAGCAGUGGGGAAUCUUGCGCAAUGGGCGAAAGCCUGACGCAGCAACGCCGCGUGCGGGAUGACGGCCUUCGUGGUUGUAAACCGCUUUCAGCAGGGACGAAAAUGACGGUACCUGCAGAAGAAGCCCCGGCUAACUACGUGCCAGCAGCCGCGGUAAUACGUAGGGGGCAAGCGUUGUCCGGAUUCAUUGGGCGUAAAGAGCUCGUAGGCGGUUCAGUAAGUCGGGUGUGAAAGCCCCGAGCUCAACUCGGAGAGGCCACCCGAUACUGCUGUGACUUGAGUCCAGUAGAGGAGCGUGGAACUCCUGGUGUAGCGGUGAAAUGCGCAGAUAUCAGGAAGAACACCUGCAGCGAAGGCGGCGCUCUGGGCUGGAACUGACGCUGAGGAGCGAAAGCGUGGGUAGCAAACAGGAUUAGAUACCCUGGUAGUCCACGCCGUAAACGUUGGGCACUAGGUGUGGGGAGCCGUCAACGCUUUCCGUGCCGUAGCUAACGCAUUAAGUGCCCCGCCUGGGGAGUACGGUCGCAAGAUUAAAACUCAAAGGAAUUGACGG
rnacentral:rRNA from 1 species